CUUAAGGGUCGAAACGAUCUUAACCUAUUCUCAAACUUUAAAUGGGUAAGAACUUAACUUUCUUGAUAUGAAGUUCAAGGUUAUGAUAUAAUGUGCCCAGUGGGCCACUUUUGGUAAGCAGAACUGCGCUGUGGGAUGAACCAAACGUAAUGUUACGGUGCCCAAAAUAACAACUCAUGCAGAUACCAUGAAAGGCGUUGGUUGCUUAAAACAGCAGGACGGUGAUCAUGGAAGUCGAAAUCCGCUAAGGAGUGUGUAACAACUCACCUGCCGAAGCAACUAGCCCUUAAAAUGGAUGGCGCUUAAGUUGUAUACCUAUACAUUACCGCUAAAGUAAGAUGAUUUAUAUUACUUGUUGAUAUAAAUUUUGAAACUUUAGUGAGUAAGGAAGGUACAAUGGUAUGCGUAGAAGUGUUUGGCGUAAGCCUGCAUGGAGCUGCCAUUGGUACAGAUCUUUGGUGGUAGUAGCAAAUAAUCGAAUGAGACCUUGGAGGACUGAAGUGGAGAAGGGUUUCGUGUGAACAGUGGUUGAUCACGAGUUAGUCCGGUCCUAAGUUCAAGGCGAAAGCCGAAAAUUUUCAAGUAAAACAAAAAUGCCUAACUAUAUAAACAAAGCGAAUUAUAAUACACUUGAAUAAUUUUGAACGAAAGGGAAUACGGUUCCAAUUCCGUAACCUGUUGAGUAUCCGUUUGUUAUUAAAUAUGGGCCUCGUGCUCAUCCUGGCAACAGGAACGACCAUAAAGAAGCCGUCGAGAGAUAUCGGAAGAGUUUUCUUUUCUGUUUUAUAGCCGUACUACCAUGGAAGUCUUUCGCAGAGAGAUAUGGUAGAUGGGCUAGAAGAGCAUGACAUAUAUUGUUUGUGUCGAUAUUUUCUCCUCGGACCUUGAAAAUUUAUGGUGGGGACACGCAAACUUCUCAACAGGCCGUACCAAUAUCCGCAGCUGGUCUCCAAGGUGAAGAGUCUCUAGUCGAUAGAAUAAUGUAGGUAAGGGAAGUCGGCAAAUUAGAUCCGUAACUUCGGGAUAAGGAUUGGCUCUGAAGAUUGAGAUAGUCGGGCUUGAUUGGGAAACAAUAACAUGGUUUAUGUGCUCGUUCUGGGUAAAUAGAGUUUCUAGCAUUUAUGUUAGUUACUUGUUCCCGGAUAGUUUAGUUACGUAGCCAAUUGUGGAACUUUCUUUGCUAAAAUUUUUAAGAAUACUAUUUGGGUUAAACCAAUUAGUUCUUAUUAAUUAUAACGAUUAUCAAUUAACAAUCAAAUUCAGAACUGGCACGGACUUGGGGAAUCCGACUGUCUAAUUAAAACAAAGCAUUGUGAUGGCCCUAGCGGGUGUUGACACAAUGUGAUUUCUGCCCAGUGCUCUGAAUGUCAAAGUGAAGAAAUUCAAGUAAGCGCGGGUCAACGGCGGGAGUAACUAUGACUCUCUUAAGGCCUCUCAAAUGCCUCGUCAUCUAAUUAGUGACGCGCAUGAAUGGAUUAACGAGAUUCCUACUGUCCCUAUCUACUAUCUAGCGAAACCACAGCCAAGGGAACGGGCUUGGAAUAAUUAGCGGGGAAAGAAGACCCUUUUGAGCUUGACUCUAAUCUGGCAGUGUAAGGAGACAUAAGAGGUGUAGAAUAAGUGGGAGAUAUUAGACCUCGGUUUGGUAUCGUCAAUGAAAUACCACUACUCUUAUUGUUUCCUUACUUACUUGAUUAAAUGGAACGUGUAUCAUUUCCUAGCCAUUAUACGGAUAUAUUUAUUAUAUCUUAUGGUAUUGGGUUUUGAUGCAAGCUUCUUGAUCAAAGUAUCACGAGUUUGUUAUAUAAUCGCAAACAAAUUCUUUAAUAAAACGAUGCAUUUAUGUAUUUUUGAUUUGAAAAUUUGGUAUAACUCCAAUUACUCAGGUAUGAUCCAAUUCAAGGACAUUGCCAGGUAGGGAGUUUGACUGGGGCGGUACAUCUCUCAAAUAAUAACGGAGGUGUCCCAAGGCCAGCUCAGUGCGGACAGAAACCACACAUAGAGCAAAAGGGCAAAUGCUGACUUGAUCUCGGUGUUCAGUACACACAGGGACAGCAAAAGCUCGGCCUAUCGAUCCUUUUGGUUUAAAGAGUUUUUAACAAGAGGUGUCAGAAAAGUUACCAUAGGGAUAACUGGCUUGUGGCGGCCAAGCGUUCAUAGCGACGUCGCUUUUUGAUCCUUCGAUGUCGGCUCUUCCUAUCAUUGUGAAGCAAAAUUCACCAAGCGUUGGAUUGUUCACCCAUGCAAGGGAACGUGAGCUGGGUUUAGACCGUCGUGAGACAGGUUAGUUUUACCCUACUAAUGACAAAAACGUUGUUGCGACAGCAUUCCUGCGUAGUACGAGAGGAACCGCAGGUACGGACCAAUGGCACAAUACUUGUUCGAGCGAACAGUGGUAUGACGCUACGUCCGUUGGAUUAUGCCUGAACGCCUCUAAGGUCGUAUCCGUGCUGGACUGCAAUGAUAAAUAAGGGGCAAUUUGCAUUGU
rnacentral:rRNA from 1 species